AGAUAAUUGCGGUAAUUCUGGAGCUGGUUGGCAUGGCAACUAUCAUGGACCCAGACAUGAGACACACAAGGAAUCCCACUGGCAAGGCACAGGAAGUACUUCCGGGUUCGACAAUGCUGAUCCGCUAUUAGGAGACACUGAUUAACCCAAGACACCAACUUCUCUUCCUUGUGCACAGUAAAAACUCUAUUUCAUACAACCACCUUUGGCCGUUCCCCGUUCCUGAAAUCUCCGGCUACUUCCCUCUGGGGCCUCUCUCAGCACAGCGGUGGCCCCAUCACUGCGCCCGGAAGCUUCACAAAGAAACUCCUCACCUGGGCUUCAUUGAAGUCUUCAAGAAUAUAGCCAGCUCCGGCUCGAAGCUGGGAUUCUGUGUACUGCUUGUUGAAAGGAGGGAUUUCUAAAAAUUCUAUAUAAAAAAAGAAAGACAA